AGUUCUGAUUAUUGAAAGGUGCUUGCAUCUUGAUUUAAUUUUGAACGAGUGGCGGACGGGUGAGUAACACGUGGGUAACCUGCCCUUAAGUGGGGGAUAACAUUUGGAAACAGAUGCUAAUACCGCAUAAAUCCAAGAACCGCAUGGUUCUUGGCUGAAAGAUGGCGUAAGCUAUCGCUUUUGGAUGGACCCGCGGCGUAUUAGCUAGUUGGUGAGGUAACGGCUCACCAAGGCAAUGAUACGUAGCCGAACUGAGAGGUUGAUCGGCCACAUUGGGACUGAGACACGGCCCAAACUCCUACGGGAGGCAGCAGUAGGGAAUCUUCCACAAUGGACGCAAGUCUGAUGGAGCAACGCCGCGUGAGUGAAGAAGGCUUUCGGGUCGUAAAACUCUGUUGUUGGAGAAGAAUGGUCGGCAGAGUAACUGUUGUCGGCGUGACGGUAUCCAACCAGAAAGCCACGGCUAACUACGUGCCAGCAGCCGCGGUAAUACGUAGGUGGCAAGCGUUAUCCGGAUUUAUUGCGUAAAGCGAGCGCAGGCGGUUUUUUAAGUCUGAUGUGAAAGCCCUCGGCUUAACCGAGGAAGUGCAUCGGAAACUGGGAAACUUGAGUGCAGAAGAGGACAGUGGAACUCCAUGUGUAGCGGUGAAAUGCGUAGAUAUAUGGAAGAACACCAGUGGCGAAGGCGGCUGUCUGGUCUGUAACUGACGCUGAGGCUCGAAAGCAUGGGUAGCGAACAGGAUUAGAUACCCUGGUAGUCCAUGCCGUAAACGAUGAAUGCUAGGUGUUGGAGGGUUUCCGCCCUUCAGUGCCGCAGCUAACGCAUUAAGCAUUCCGCCUGGGGAGUACGACCGCAAGGUUGAAACUCAAAGGAAUUGACGGGGGCCCGCACAAGCGGUGGAGCAUGUGGUUUAAUUCGAAGCAACGCGAAGAACCUUACCAGGUCUUGACAUCUUUUGAUCACCUGAGAGAUCAGGUUUCCCCUUCGGGGGCAAAAUGACAGGUGGUGCAUGGUUGUCGUCAGCUCGUGUCGUGAGAUGUUGGGUUAAGUCCCGCAACGAGCGCAACCCUUAUGACUAGUUGCCAGCAUUUAGUUGGGCACUCUAGUAAGACUGCCGGUGACAACCGGAGGAAGGUGGGGAUGACGUCAAAUCAUCAUGCCCCUUAUGACCUGGGCUACACACGUGCUACAAUGGAUGGUACAACGAGUUGCGAGACCGCGAGGUCAAGCUAAUCUCUUAAAGCCAUUCUCAGUUCGGACUGUAGGCUGCAACUCGCCUACACGAGUCGGAAUCGCUAGUAAUCGCGGAUCAGCACGCCGCGGUGAAUACGUUCCCGGGCCUU
rnacentral:rRNA from 2 species